GUUCAUCCAGUUCUUCUCCGGCUGGAAAUGGUAGGAAGUUCUUUGCCAAGAUAGCAUAGCAUUGGUCCAAGGAUAGACAUCAUUCGCAUCAGAGACUCCCCGGAAAGUCUUCUCCGAGACUCCUUGAGGAACCCCUCUGGAAGCUGGAAUGAGAGAAUGAGGGGAGACAGGUGAGGAAGGGGAUGACUUGUUUAAAUUGGCAUUGAUCAUUUGAGAUUGAUCGCGAGGUUCUUCUUGUCCUUGGAAAAGGGUCAAGAUUAAGGUAAGCAGAAACAAUGAGGACAGGAAAAUGCCGGCCAGAACCUUAACGGGCCGUUGUCUACUUUGACCCGAGGACCGAGAAACCUCUGCUUCAUCGGAUUGCUCUAGCAAAGGAGCAUCGGAGACGGCAAGUUCAGGAUCAUAUGGCAGAGUAAGAGAACGAUUGGCGGCCAUUUUGGUAGAUGACGGUGGACGGAGAAGGGAAGGCUAGGCCGAAUGCUAGCUACAAAGGCGCUAUAUGGUAGACCACUACUCGACUAGCUAGUCGUACUACCAACAAUAUAUAUAUAUAUAUAGCAGUGGCAUUCGGGCUUUCAACGGGGGUGGUAAAAAAAAAAAAAAAAUUUAAAGGUGGAAUUCGGGCUCUCCAGGACUGGGGGCGGCCCCUGCUCAGCAGUUGGCAAUGUGUCUGCAUUUGAGUUUUCUUGCAUGAUGUGUGGUCCAACACGGAUUUUUCCAGAGCACUUUAUUGGUGGAGAGGGUUACGGGCCGGGUUCAACUUCUUCACCAGUUUUACUGUUUAAUAAAGUUUAAGCGAACAUUUUAUUCUUUUUUUGCCUUACGGAACUGCAAGUUAUUACGAUUAAAAACGUAAAAAAGAAAAUGCAGACAAAAAAAAAAGAAUAAAAUAGUUGUGUUUGAAUUGCAUUUUUCAUGAAAAAAUUACUGUAGCGAUUUGAUGUAUGCGAGGAAAAAAGAUAAUAGAGAAAUGUGAUCACGGAAAACGACGUAAUUUUUUGACGGAAAACAACAAUCAAAACAAGGCCAUGCCAAAGCUGAAAUUUUUUUUUUUUAAGGAAUAUACGUAUGUGGAAAAAUAAUCUUGCUAAGGUCCUUUUUAUUUGCAUUUAGGAAACUCCAUUUGUUGUUCCCCAGCAAUUCGACCCUAGAACUAGAUGCAAAUGAAGAUUGGUUCGAUUUCCUUUGUGUUUCAAAGGUAAAAGGGGGAAAAAAGGCGGCGUCAAGAGUGGAAAAUGUCUUAGCCAAAAAAAAAAAAAAAAAAGAGUAGAAAGUGAGGAAAAAGUCAAAACAAUGUAUAUUAAUAAACACUGGUCGAGGAAUAUUGAAUUACUCUUUUUAAAAGAAAAACCAAAAAGUACAUGAAUGUUGAACCAUACCGAUUCUGUAAUAUUAUUUUUAAUAACAUAAGUAAAAGAAUUUAAAUUCAAAAUUAUAUAUAUACAUAUUAUAUUCCAUCCCACCCUUCCUGAAUUUUGUGAUUGCAACACGUUAAAAAUUUUGCCGGUUUUAUUUGGUCAUCAUAUCUCUGUCUGACUACGGACAAAUCAGAAUUGGGCAAUGAGUUGGCAUUAUUGUAUUAUAGAAUCGUAUUCGUGUACCAAUCUUAGAAAGAAAAAGAAACAGUGAUGAUUGAAGAACAGACCUGCGUUGCUGAGCCAAUAUUUAGGGGCGCGAUGGAUCCUGGUUCCAGCUUGACGGUGUCAAAUUCAGUAGCAUUAAAUCUCAAGCUCUCCGCUUCUUCAACCGGCCAUUGAAGUAUAUUUGUUCCAGUCUUCUUGUCAAAAACCACCGUUCUUGGAUUGUCUGUGCAACACAUCAAACCAGCUAUUACUAUUAGGCCUGGGAACCACACAGUCCGAUGCAUGGCAGUGUCAUUAUUAUUAUUAUUAUAUUAUCGUUUUCCGUGAUCACAUUUUCCUAUCACCUUUUUCUCUCACAUAUAUCAAAUCGUUACAGUAAUUUUUCCAUAAAAAAUGACAAAAAAUGUAAUCCAAACACAACCUUAAGUUCCAUCUGGGCAAUCCAUCCAAGCUUGGUAAUCAUUCUUUCUUUAACUAAAUUCUUUGUGGGCUACAUGGUAAUUAGUAGUAUAUUUUUUGGUGGAGUAGACAUUAAAGUUGUUUCCGUUCAAAAGGAACAAAAAAAAGACACGUAGAAUAUGGUACCAUAUCACUUCACAAUUAGAGAGGCCAUCUUGACGUGGUUCUCACACACCAAAUGAAUAGAAUAUUAUCAAAGAACUUGAAAUCAAAGUCAAGGCAAUGCAUUAUGCACUUGUGAAUGAGGAGAACAAUAAUACUAAUAAUAAUGAUGAUACCUGAACCGAUGCCCAUCCUUUCAUGAGGUCAGCAGCUUCGCUGUCAGUUUCUCCAAUCCAACCCCACAAAAUCCUCCUCUUCUUGUUCUGGUCGUAAAAUGUCUUUGACGCGUAAUACUUGCCAUAGUCCAGACGCAACCCGAUACCCACAUCCAGUUCCGGAUCGUCAGGGGUCCACUUAUUGUUUUUCGGAUCAUAGGUGCCCAGUGCGUAGUAAUCGUGCUUGUUCUCGUCCAAGCUUGCCUUCAGGACGUGCUUAGUGCCAGGCCCAUUAGCCGAUGUAUCCAGCCCAUUAUCCCCCGUGGUGGAAACCGGGUAGAAAUCCACGCACUCCCACAUGCCUGUGCGGGGAACGGCGUGUAAAACCCCAUCCAAGAGCCGGUAGCCCUUGAAGUCGCUGGUUUCAUAAACCAGGGCAAUGCCCGUUUUAUUGACCUUGGACCCGAGAGUAACCAACCACUUGGUCCCAUCGGGCGCCAGCCAGGCGGUGGUGGGGUCCCUAAAGUCCUUCUUGCCAAUGCCAGGUGGGGGAUCAUGACCGGGUUACCCGGGUACUUGAUCCAGUCAAGGAGGAGAGGAUCGGAUAGGUUGGCGGGGUACGCAAGGUUUUGCACCUGCACCAGAUCAGCAGUGUCCCCAGUGUACAGGAUCACGAUUUGACCACCAGGAAGAAUGGUGGCUGAACCGGUCCAUACACCAUUGAUAUCGAACGGCCUAUCGGGGACCAUGGCGAAGGGCAGAUACAGCCAGUGAAUAAGGUCCCUUGAAACCGCAUGUCCCCAUGUGAUGUUUCCCCAGAUAGCUGAAUCCGGAUUGUAUUGGUAGAAAAGGUGGUACCAACCCAUGUGGAACAAUGGACCUGUACCAGCAUAGCUUUUUUUUUUUUUUUUUUUUAUCAAAACAUGCAUUGUCCCUGGAGACUCUUAUGAUUGUCAUCGUUCUAAAACAAGUUGAAACCACAUGCACUUUAUCAAGUACGAACAGAAUUGUUAUUAAGGGCUGUGAGGAAAGCCGCCUCGAUUUAUUACAGGGAUGGUCAGGUCUCAGAUCACGAUAUUCUUCCUUUCUUUUUGUUUUUUUUGGCCAAAUACGCUACAUUCUAUUUUAUACCUAUUCUUACUAUACUAUAUACUAGAAGGAGGGAGACCUAAAGGGAUCCGGGAAGAAUCUGAAAGGACUGAACCACCGUCGAUCUAAACGGAUGACUACACAUUCGUUAGGAAAUUCCAGAGAAUCCUGGAUUGAACGUAGACAAAGGGAUUUAAUCUCUUAUUAACCUACACCCUUAAGUAAAAUUUUAAGAUUCACUUGGUAACCAACUGCUCUAGAAGUAGUUGGUUAGAUUAAGAUAUUCCCCGAUCUUGUGGUUUUUGAAGCAGAAAUUAUACAGUAAGAGAAGUGUUGAGAAGGCAAGUUGGCAACUGCCCCGUCAUGGCUGUCAUCCGGGACGGUUGGACGAAUUCAAAGUUUCAUGCUGAUUUCUCCACCAAGAAAUACUACAAGAAUUAAUCUACAGCAUUUGCAUAAUAUUCAAGAAAGCAACAAUUCAUCCCAUGGAAAUUUCAGCCUCUCGUGGGAUGUGCGUGCAAGAAAUUGAAAAGUAUGUGUAGUUUUGCAUCCCAUAACUUUGGGGUCUAUCAAAUGCCACGUAGAAAUUCUGGUGAUUUUGAAAAUUUCAGACCCAAAAUGAACGAAAAGACGUGUGCAGCAGACUCGUCACAAUUGAUUUUGCAAAAUUGAACACGACUCUCUCCCAUCUUCCUAGUUGUUAUCCGAGUAGCUUCGUUGCAAUAAUUGGAUUGGGCACUUACAUAUUAAUGCAUUUAUCUGUUAGCUUCCAAUUUCAAUUUCACAAUCCAGAAGAAAGAAACUGAAACGGAAAAAAAAAAAUCCAAAACCACAGAGUAUUAUUCAGCCAAGGAUGGAGUCGAGGGAGGGACAAUUCUAUUUUGAGCCCUUUAUUUCAAUUAUUCCUUGAUAGAGAGAGAGAGUGAAAAGAACUUGUGGCCCUUAACAAUUUUCCUAUCGGCUCUAUCCAUUUUAUGUACUUCGACCUGGGUGUAUAAAAUCACUGGGCCAUUGGCUCAGUGACCAUCAGGGUUGACGAGGGUUUAAAUCUCAUCAGCAGCGAAAAAAAUUUAAGGGUUGUGCUAUAGCACUUCCUUGAUCUAGUUGGAUCUGUAUACCCACUAGUCCCUUUCAUAGUCUCCUUAGGCUCCCUUCCCCCUAGAUUAUGAUAGAGUAAGUUAUACAAAUACAUCGUUGCUGAAAAAAAAAAAACUUGGGUGUAUAAAUUAUUAGGCACAACUACUUGGGAGUACUAUAGUAGUAGAAAUGUGGCUUUCCACGUUCCACAAUCUACAAAAAGCCAGAUGGACAAAUGCACAUGUGGCGUGUUGACCCACCCACAUGGAAAUGAGUAUUCGGAGAAAGAACCCUCCUUGAUUGGUCCACAACUCUCUUCCAAAACCCCAAAAAAAAAAAAAAAAAAGAAUUAACUAAUCCUCAAUCAACUACUACUAUAUAGGGCACUUUUACCACCACACAUUCGUUUGAAUCUUCCGAAUAAAGUACCCUACUAGCAAUAAUACGCCAACCAUCAAGAAGAAGUUGAAUUAUUACGAUUCUCCUACACAGACGGAAUCCCCAGACAGAAACCUAUACUUGCACGGCGGGAAUCCCAUGGUCAACUACAAUGCCUACGCAUGUUAGACAAAUUACUACGACAUUAAAACGAGAAAACACCCCAUGGGCUCCAAAAUUAUAGGAAUGUACAACUCUAAUCUAAACUAGACAAUUAGAGGAUGGAAAGUAUAUGCUUGCAAUUUGCAGUAUCAGAAGCAAAUGAAAGUGAUUGAGCAACGUACCAUUAGGAUCUAGAGUAGACGAAAUUUCCCGCGCAAAGUUGUGUGUGUCAUCAAACCACCAACAGUGAAGGAAAAAAAAAAAAGAAGCUCGGAUUAGUAUGCAUGAAUGCAUCACAUACCUUAAAAUUCUACAAUGGUAAGGAAUUUUCAGAGAAAAGAGACGGGUUGGCUUUUGGAACCUGCAAGAUUGGAUUAUGACUCACCGUUCAUCCAGUUCUUCUCCGGCUGGAAAUGGUAGGAAGUUCUUUGCCAAGAUAGCAUAGCAUUGGUCCAAGGAUAGACAUCAUUCGCAUCAGAGACUCCCCGGAAAGUCUUCUCCGAGACUCCUUGAGGAACCCCUCUGGAAGCUGGAAUGAGAGAAUGAGGGGAGACAGGUGAGGAAGGGGAUGACUUGUUUAAAUUGGCAUUGAUCAUUUGAGAUUGAUCGCGAGGUUCUUCUUGUCCUUGGAAAAGGGUCAAGAUUAAGGUAAGCAGAAACAAUGAGGACAGGAAAAUGCCGGCCAGAACCUUAACGGGCCGUUGUCUACUUUGACCCGAGGACCGAGAAACCUCUGCUUCAUCGGAUUGCUCUAGCAAAGGAGCAUCGGAGACGGCAAGUUCAGGAUCAUAUGGCAGAGUAAGAGAACGAUUGGCGGCCAUUUUGGUAGAUGACGGUGGACGGAGAAGGGAAGGCUAGGCCGAAUGCUAGCUACAAAGGCGCUAUAUGGUAGACC
rnacentral:lncRNA from 1 species